UGUAGUAGAGACAUCUACUCCAGAGGUACUUGCUUAGGUCACAACAUAUCGGUCACAGCUGUUUGGGCAAUAUGGCAGCACUCUCAUGUUCUGUGGCUGGAUCCCUCAAUACAGGCUCUGAAAAAAAUUGUCCCAUUGGCUGCCACCCAGAGCCAUAGAGACGUACAAAGACGUCAUGGGGGAAAGCAAAGAUAAACUGUGUGGGAAAAGUGUUGCUUCUGUUUUACUCAGGCUGUUGCCAUAGUAACAGCGGAGCUUAUCAACAACAUGCGGGUUUUGUUUUAGCAAAGAUAUUAAUGGUAGCUAGCAAGCAGGCUAUCAAAGGAAUAUUAGCUAGCUGAUGAGAUCAAAUGGCUGAUAAACGUGGUUUGGAGAAACUGGACUUUGGUGCAUUAAGCAUCGAGCAACAGCAGCUACUCCGACAAUUUAAGAGAUGUAUUUCUCAAAAGACCCACAGACAUUCGAGCGUAUGCAGCAGAUUACUUCACCGACCAAAACCUUUGUUUGAUCAUUGGCUCCAAACUGCAGGGCGAUCCUGCCACAGACUGAAUCCUUACUGGAUUGUUUGGCAGUUCAACUGUCAUUGAAGUGUAAAGCUGUAACAAGCCUCUUUCUCUGCGUUCUGUACAUUCUCUGCAUUGACUAGUUAUGUGUCAAAGUAACAUGAUACAAAUAUAAAACAUUAUAUAAAGUGGGAAUGUACUGGCACCCAG